rnacentral:rRNA from 1 species
AUUGAACGCUGGCGGCAGGCCUAACACAUGCAAGUCGAGCGGUAGAGAGGUGCUUGCACCUCUUGAGAGCGGCGGACGGGUGAGUAAAGCCUAGGAAUCUGCCUGGUAGUGGGGGAUAACGCUCGGAAACGGACGCUAAUACCGCAUACGUCCUACGGGAGAAAGCAGGGGGACCCUUCGGGCCUUGCGCUAUCAGAUGA